rnacentral:rRNA from 1 species
UUGAUUAUGACGUACUUGUACUGAUUGAGAUUUUAACACGAAGUGAGUGGCGAACGGGUGAGUAACACGUGGGUAACCUGCCCAGAAGUAGGGGAUAACACCUGGAAACAGAUGCUAAUACCGUAUAACAGAGAAAACCGCAUGGUUUUCUUUUAAAAGAUGGCUCUGCUAUCACUUCUGGAUGGACCCGCGGCGUAUUAGCUAGUUGGUGAGGUAAAGGCUCACCAAGGCAGUGAUACGUAGCCGACCUGAGAGGGUAAUCGGCCACAUUGGGACUGAGACACGGCCCCAGACUCCUACGGGAGGCAGCAGUAGGGAAUCUUCCCACAAUGGACGCAAGUCUGAUGGAGCAACGCCGCGUGAGUGAAGAAGGGUUUCGGCUCGUAAAGCUCUGUUGUUAAAGAAGAACGUGGGUAAGA